rnacentral:rRNA from 1 species
GGGUUGUGAGGUUAAGCGACUAAGCGUACACGGUGGAUGCCCUGGCAGUCAGAGGCGAUGAAGGACGUGCUAAUCUGCGAAAAGCGUCGGUAAGGUGAUAUGAACCGUUACAGCCGGCGAUGUCCGAAUGGGGAAACCCAGUGCAAUUCGUUGCACUAUCGUUAACUGAAUACAUAGGUUAACGAGGCGAACCGGGGGAACUGAAACAUCUAAGUACCCCGAGGAAAAGAAAUCAACCGAGAUUCCCCCAGUAGCGGCGAGCGAACGGGGAGCAGCCCAGAGUCUGAAUCAGCUUGUGUGUUAGUGGAACGGUCUGGAAAGUCCGACGGUACAGGGUGAUAGUCCCGUACACCAAAAUGCACAGGCUGUGAACUCGAAGAGUAGGGCGGGACACGUGGUAUCCUGUCUGAAUAUGGGGGGACCAUCCUCCAAGGCUAAAUACUCCUGACUGACCGAUAGUGAACCAGUACCGUGAGGGAAAGGCGAAAAGAACCCCGGCGAGGGGAGUGAAAAAAGAACCUGAAACCGUGUACGUACAAGCAGUGGGAGCACCUUCGGGUGUGACUGCGUACCUUUUGUAUAAUGGGUCAGCGACUUAUAUUCUGUAGCAAGGUUAACCGUAUAGGGGAGCCGCAGGGAAACCGAGUCUUAACUGGGCGUUAAGUUGCAGGGUAUAGACCCGAAACCCGGUGAUCUAGCCAUGGGCAGGUUGAAGGUUGGGUAACACUAACUGGAGGACCGAACCGACUAAUGUUGAAAAAUUAGCGGAUGACUUGUGGCUGGGGGUGAAAGGCCAAUCAAACCGGGAGAUAGCUGGUUCUCCCCGAAAGCUAUUUAGGUAGCGCCUCGUGAACUCAUCUUCGGGGGUAGAGCACUGUUUCGGCUAGGGGGUCAUCCCGACUUACCAACCCGAUGCAAACUACGAAUACCGAAGAAUGUUAUCACGGGAGACACACGGCGGGUGCUAACGUCCGUCGUGAAGAGGGAAACAACCCAGACCGCCAGCUAAGGUCCCAAAGUCAUGGUUAAGUGGGAAACGAUGUGGGAAGGCACAGACAGCCAGGAUGUUGGCUUAGAAGCAGCCAUCAUUUAAAGAAAGCGUAAUAGCUCACUGGUCGAGUCGGCCUGCGCGGAAGAUGUAACGGGGCUAAACCAUGCACCGAAGCUGCGGCAGCGACACUAUGUGUUGUUGGGUAGGGGAGCGUUCUGUAAGCCUGCGAAGGUGACCUGUGAGGGUUGCUGGAGGUAUCAGAAGUGCGAAUGCUGACAUAAGUAACGAUAAAGCGGGUGAAAAGCCCGCUCGCCGGAAGACCAAGGGUUCCUGUCCAACGUUAAUCGGGGCAGGGUGAGUCGACCCCUAAGGCGAGGCCGAAAGGCGUAGUCGAUGGGAAACAGGUUAAUAUUCCUGUACUUGGUGUUACUGCGAAGGGGGGACGGAGAAGGCUAUGUUAGCCGGGCGACGGUUGUCCCGGUUUAAGCAUGUAGGCUGGUUGUCCAGGCAAAUCCGGAUAAUCAAGGCUGAGGUGUGAUGACGAGGCACUACGGUGCUGAAGUAACAAAUGCCCUGCUUCCAGGAAAAGCCUCUAAGCAUCAGGUAACAUCAAAUCGUACCCCAAACCGACACAGGUGGUCAGGUAGAGAAUACCAAGGCGCUUGAGAGAACUCGGGUGAAGGAACUAGGCAAAAUGGUGCCGUAACUUCGGGAGAAGGCACGCUGGUGUGUAGGUGAAGUCCCUGCGGAUGGAGCUGAGACCAGUCGAAGAUACCAGCUGGCUGCAACUGUUUAUUAAAAACACAGCACUGUGCAAACACGAAAGUGGACGUAUACGGUGUGACGCCUGCCCGGUGCCGGAAGGUUAAUUGAUGGGGUUAUCCGUAAGGAGAAGCUCUUGAUCGAAGCCCCGGUAAACGGCGGCCGUAACUAUAACGGUCCUAAGGUAGCGAAAUUCCUUGUCGGGUAAGUUCCGACCUGCACGAAUGGCGUAAUGAUGGCCAGGCUGUCUCCACCCGAGACUCAGUGAAAUUGAACUCGCUGUGAAGAUGCAGUGUACCCGCGGCAAGACGGAAAGACCCCGUGAACCUUUACUAUAGCUUGACACUGAACAUUGAGCCUUGAUGUGUAGGAUAGGUGGGAGGCUUUGAAGCGUGGACGCCAGUCUGCGUGGAGCCAACCUUGAAAUACCACCCUUUAAUGUUUGAUGUUCUAACGUUGGCCCCUUACCGGGGUUGCGGACAGUGUCUGGUGGGUAGUUUGACUGGGGCGGUCUCCUCCCAAAGCGUAACGGAGGAGCACGAAGGUUAGCUAAUCCUGGUCGGACAUCAGGAGGUUAGUGCAAUGGCAUAAGCUAGCUUGACUGCGAGCGUGACGGCGCGAGCAGGUGCGAAAGCAGGUCAUAGUGAUCCGGUGGUUCUGAAUGGAAGGGCCAUCGCUCAACGGAUAAAAGGUACUCCGGGGAUAACAGGCUGAUACCGCCCAAGAGUUCAUAUCGACGGCGGUGUUUGGCACCUCGAUGUCGGCUCAUCACAUCCUGGGGCUGAAGUAGGUCCCAAGGGUAUGGCUGUUCGCCAUUUAAAGUGGUACGCGAGCUGGGUUUAGAACGUCGUGAGACAGUUCGGUCCCUAUCUGCCGUGGGCGCUGGAGAAUUGAGGGGGGCUGCUCCUAGUACGAGAGGACCGGAGUGGACGCAUCACUGGUGUUCGGGUUGUCAUGCCAAUGGCACUGCCCGGUAGCUAAAUGCGGAAGAGAUAAGUGCUGAAAGCAUCUAAGCACGAAACUUGCCCCGAGAUGAGUUCUCCCUGAGACUUUAAGUCUCCUGAAGGAACGUUAAAGACGAUGACGUUGAUAGGCCGGGUGUGUAAGCGCAGCGAUGCGUUGAGCUAACCGGUACUAAUGAACCGUGAGGCUUAACCUUACAACGCCGAAG